rnacentral:rRNA from 1 species
GACGAACGCUGGCGGCGUGCUUAACACAUGCAAGUCGAACGCUGAAGCUCAGCUUUUGUUGGGUGGAUGAGUGGCGAACGGGUGAGUAACACGUGAGUAACCUGCCCCCUUCUUUGGGAUAACGCCCGGAAACGGGUGCUAAUACUGGAUAUUCACUGGCCUUCGCAUGGGGGUUGGUGGAAAGGGUUUUUCUGGUGGGGGAUGGGCUCGCGGCCUAUCAGCUUGUUGGUGGGGUGAUGGCCUACCAAGGCUUUGACGGGUAGCCGGCCUGAGAGGGUGACCGGUCACAUUGGGACUGAGAUACGGCCCAGACUCCUACGGGAGGCAGCAGUGGGGAAUAUUGCACAAUGGGCGCAAGCCUGAUGCAGCGACGCCGCGUGAGGGAUGGAGGCCUUCGGGUUGUGAACCUCUUUCGCUCAUGGUCAAGCCGCAACAAUGGUUGUGGUGAGGGUAGUGGGUAAAGAAGCGCCGGCUAACUACGUG